rnacentral:rRNA from 1 species
UACGGAGGGUGCAAGCGUUAAUCGGAAUUACUGGGCGUAAAGCGUGCGCAGGCGGUUUGUUAAGUCUGCUGUGAAAUCUCGAGGCUCAACUUCGAGGCUGCCUCCUAAACUGUCAGGCUCGAGCAGAGUAGAGGCAGGUGGAAUUCCCGGUGUAGCAGUGAAAUGCGUAGAGAUCGGGAGGAACACCAGUGGCGAAGGCGGCCUUCUGGACCAAUACUGACGCUCAUGCACGAAAGCGUGGGGAGCAAACAGG